AGCGUGCACCACAGCGGGCGCACACCUUUUAUACUACAAACAGCAAAGAGUACCAAGGCAGUCAACAUAUAACAUUGGACAAAACAAAAGCAGAUAAACUUAAACUCACCAAUACCCGUCGCCGGAGAAUCCCUUGGUUACUUCAGUUACAUCCUCUUCUCCCCUUGCUGACACAAUUCAGGACAUAAUGACAAUUUCUCUGAUUCGGAAAAGAGACUCUCAACAUUUGUCUUCAUGUUCCUGUGUUGAAAGCUGCUUUGAUUAUUUUGGCAAAAAAACAACAACAAGGCUCUUUUCGUCUGUCUCGGAAAGUUUCCCUCGUUGGAUUUGUUAAAUGUGCACCCGCUCAGUGGGCGCGUUUGAUUUCGUUACUAAACGUGGCCGCCGGGGCGGUACCAUGGGCUAUAUCAUUAGAAAGGAUUACGUUUUGGGAAGACGAGCACCUGUAAACUCAGACAUAAACUUUACACAGUGUUCCAACGUUAGUUCAUCAUAGCAACUGUGCCGUGUAGUUUAGAUGUAGUCGGUACUUCAGUGACAACUACGCGCGAACUAGCAGAUCCACCUGAAUUCAAACAUGUGGGAGGGGCUCUUCGUGAUGCGGAAGUAGACCAAUCAUAUCCUGAUAUUUUAAUUAAUCUAAAUUUGCCAAACAUAUUCAGUACAAUUGUUUUUAGACUCAAGCUACAUUUAACUGACCCCGUUUGAUAAUACUAUAUUGUAGGCCUACAUGUUUUUAAUAUUGGCUACAUCCCAUUUAGCAAGACAAACUGAUGACGUCAUGAGCAAGAAGAAGUGGGAACCAAAGAAGAAACCUACAAAAAGAAAUUGAAAAAAAGAAGUAGCCUACACUAACCCGCUGGACAGCUGACAAGAGACAGGAAAAGUGGGGUGCAGAGAGUGGGGGAAGACAUGCUGUAAAUGGUCGAGGCCGGGUGUCGAACCAGUGACCACUUCAACGAGGAUAACAGCCUCUGCACACAGGGCGAACACCUAAACCUCCAGGUCAACAGCACCCCAUGUUUCAGGUGUUCUUUAACUGUCUUUAUCAUAAGAUAUGUGGUGUGGAUAAUGCAGCCACUCCCAUAUUUUCUUCAUUGGUAAACUUAUCUACACUUACAAAUGAUGUUGGACGUUCAUUGUUAAGGCUGUUUUAAAAACUAAAAGCAGUCUAAUCCAAAA